UGAGCCGGUUGAGGUGUCGUCCA
rnacentral:siRNA from 1 species